AAAUUCUAAAUCCUUCCUCUCUGACCUUGACAUCUUGGACAAUGAAAAGACUUGCAUUGGAACACCAAAACUAUCAUAACCAUCUAGAUUCAGACUCAUACUUUUUCUCUUGGGAGCAUAGGAAUCUUCUGAUGCUGUCAUCUCAGUGUCAACUCGCCCAGAACUCCCAAAACCCUCUGAUUCACCCACAGUCUCAACAGCAUGCCGGUAAUCAGGAAUAAAACCAGAGGAAUGCCCUUUAGAGUACUUCCUCGAUUUACCCAUUGGUUGUGAAAGCCAACACUUCUUUGAUUCCUUCUGUCCAACAAAAUCUAUAGGAACAGUUGGUGCCAUAAGAUUAACACCCAAUAAAUGCACAUGUCAACUUCGAAAAUAAAUUUUCAUCCUCAGCUUCACUUUCAAAAAAUCUGGACAUCCAAAAGGUGCAAUAUCAAGGCAACGCUCAG
rnacentral:misc_RNA from 1 species